UCAUUUUUAGCGCUGUAAUUAUUUUUAAAAAAAUAAUUAUUUUCUCUUGACCUCCCAUUUAAAUUCUUUAAUUUAUCGUAAAGGACUUCUCAUGUGACGUCACACUGUACGGAACAUAGUUGUUGAACCGUUCCUUGUCGUUUAAUUCGUGUUCCGUGAGAGUUUGACGUUUUCCUCGCUGACUGUGGGAGGAAUGAGAGGAACUUGGCCGGUGGCUGCGAGGUUGACAGGUUGGUGUUGGUGGUUAGUACCGUAAAUGGCGGUUAAUUUCUUCGAAAUUAAUUUUUAUUUCAACUAAGUUUGGAAGUAUAGUAAAAAGUUACCACCACUUGUUUCCUGGAGUAAGGAUGGGAGUACCAUCAGUGGAAGAGGAAUAAAAAAUUAACCGCCAUUUGGAAGAAAACUAACCCUCAUGUGAUGUCGUACCCACCUUGACUACCUAGGGAAGCCACCUUGACCUUAUUGCAGCUACCGCCAAGUCAAACUGGGAGUAUGUUUUGGGAACAAGCUUUUUGGGGGACAUUCCAGCUCCUUUUCGUCCUGCCACCUGGGCCUACGGGGGGGGGGGCAUGGAGGUGCAUCAUAGUGAUGCUCAUUUUCUAGGAUGCAACCGCAACCUCGUUUGGGAACAUUCAGUGAGGUGUUUAGUAACUAUUGGGUUUUUUUUAUAUUUCAGACAUUUGAUUAAAUACACUAUGUUUUUUUUCCAGAUUUAGGUUACCUCUGGUUUUUUUUUUUGACAUAUUUGUAUAUUAGAUUAUUUGGUUCCCAAACUUUGUAUCUACGGUAACUUCUUGUGCACAGGAAUAAGCCUAGAGAAAAUUAGGUUUUUAAUACUUUAUUAUUGCUUUGAUAUUGGUUUAUGUAAUUCGGGCAAAUUUAUUUUUUAAUAUUACUAGCUUGUUUCCCAAAUAUUUUACUGUUAUUUGCUUUAUUCCAUUUGUUCGGUUAAUUUAGGUCAUCGUCGGUAUUUAUCUCAACUUCAUUUCUACUUUAUUCAUUGUAUAUCUAACUUUGCUUAAUUCAUUUAGUAUUUUCCCUUAGUUAGGCUCAUGCCUAUUUACAUAUAUUUAUUUAUAUUACUUUUAAUAUUCAUCGGUUUUCCUUUAGUUGUACGUAGCAGGCGUACUAUAACCAUUUGGUAGAAGACUUAUGUAAUUUUGUACCCUAUAUGUUAGUGAAAGGUAUUUAUACCUGUAAUUUUGUAACAGGUAACAUUGUUGUUAUCUUAGGUUGAACAUAACUUUUGCAAACUUUUGUCAUGUUAGAGUCACAUAAUAUGAACUUGUUUAACUCAGAGAUUGUUAAAAAUCUGGUAGUUCAUUUUAAUAAAUGUUUAUUUAUUUUGUAUAUCAUUUAUUUUUUUAUUACUCCUUUAUUUUAUGUUCAUUAUUACAGGUUUAAUAUAUUUAAUAUUUGACAGCAGUGUAAGAUACCUGGGAGAAUGAUCGAAGAUCAUUUUCAUGGCGCCCAUGAUUAGUUAGUUUUAUUUAUUUUGUUCGUUUUUAGUCAUUAGUCAUCUCCAUUCAUUUUCAGUACAUUAUUCUUAUUUUAUUAUUUCAUAUUUUAGUCAUUAUUACUAUCUACAUAGAGCUACUGUUCUUCGACAGGCAUGCAAACGAGCCGUAUCCAUCCUUGAGUGUCAAGUUGCUCUCUUGCAUCUAUAGCUAGCCAACUCUAUUCAGUUUGCCUCUGUCUCUUCCCACAUCUACUUAUUAUCCCUUCUAAUUCCCCUUUCUUCAGUACUACUGCAAAGUAGUAUUUUUUAUUUUUCCUACUUCUUCUCAACGUAGAAGCCACUUCACUCUCUUCAUUUUUAUACCUAGUCUUUUCUUUUCUUCAUUUUUUUCCUUACUUCUGUUGGAGUACCUAUAUCUUUCUUUUUACUUUCACUCCAACAGAAGUUUUCUUAUUUUUGUUACACAAACACCCCCUUAUUCGAGCCCUUUAAACCCACCCCAAUUAAAAAGUAAGGGAUCUAUCGGAAUUUAAUUUACACAGUAUUAUAGUUCUCCGAAAAUCCUACAAAACAUUUUUUGAAAAAACUUUUUAUCGCCAAUAAUGAAAGAGCUAUGUUUAUAAAACGCGUUUUUUUUUCGAAAUAUUCGAAUAGUCCGCUUGUGGAACAUUUUCAAUGCAUGUAUAAUACCAUAGAGCUAGUUCGAAUACUGAAAGAUGACUUAAUAACAAUGUGUAUUUGUACUUCUACAUAUUUGUAAAUUUGUAUUUUUGUGUAAAUAAAUGUUCUUGUAAUUCUUUAA